CCUACGGGAGGCAGCAGUGAGGAAUAUUGGUCAAUGGACGAGAGUCUGAACCAGCCAAGUAGCGUGAAGGAUGACUGCCCUAUGGGUUGUAAACUUCUUUUAUAUGGGAAUAAAACGUUCCACGUGUGGGAUUUUGUAUGUACCAUAUGAAUAAGGAUCGGCUAACUCCGUGCCAGCAGCCGCGGUAAUACGGAGGAUCCGAGCGUUAUCCGGAUUUAUUGGGUUUAAAGGGAGCGUAGGUGGAUUGUUAAGUAAGUUGUGAAAGUUUGCGGCUCAACCGUAAAAUUGCAGUUGAAACUGGCAGUCUUGAGUACAGUAGAGGUGGGCGGAAUGCGUGGUGUAGCGGUGAAAUGCUUAGAUAUCACGAAGAACUCCGAUUGCGAAGGCAGUUCACUGGACUGCAACUGACACUGAGGCUCGAAAGUGUGGGUAUCAAACAGGAUUAGAUACCCCUGUAGUC
rnacentral:rRNA from 1 species